rnacentral:lncRNA from 7 species
UAUUAACCACCUUUCAUUUCCCUAGUAUUAUAUAGACCAUUAAUAUUAAAUGAUUUAAUAAAUAAAUUAAUUUAGACUAAGCUCAUUAAAUCAACAUCAAAUAGAUGCAUCAGCGUAGCUAGACAUCAAGAUGGCCACUUUAAAUUAGUCAAAUUGGAAUACCAGAGCAAACGAGGCCCGUCAGACCGCCCAAACUGGACACGAACGAACAGCCGAUCGAUCCAGUACGUGAAUGUAAAAAAGCUGGUAUCAACAAUCGGCUAGAAUUUCCGAGGAUAUUUUGGGCUUGGGCCGAAACUACCCUGGUAGCUCCGUCCGCCACUGUUCAUACGUGGCGCGCGACAUCUGGCUUGCGCGCGCCACUGUCCGCGGUUCGGAGGUGUCCGGCGCAGGCCGGCCGGAAGGGCCAGAUCUGGGACGUACGCGAGGCCGCCCCGCUCCACCGGCCGGCGGCAUUGGCGCGCGAGCAUGCGUGCCACGCCGCGGCCGCACGUACGUACAGCUGCCUCGUUUCCUCCGGUCAUUCUUUAACGUCGUUCUUCCUGUACGCUCGAUCGCCGAUCGGCAACGCCGCUGUUUGUCAAAAGGAGAGGGAGAUAUAUAGGCCAGCUAGCACAGCAGAGGAGGAGCGGCCGGAUGGACAGUAGAAUGGGUGGCGGUGGCGCAGGCAUGUGACACCUGCUGCAACGGAAAGAUGCAUCGAUCCAAUCCAUCUGUCCCGUCGUCCUUUUUGCCCGACGACGCCCAUCCGAUGUUUCCUACUGUUUUCCAGCGCCGUAGUGCGUGUGCUUGUGUGAUCCACCUUCCACCACCACCGUACCUCCUCCGCUCUCUCUCGCUGCCAUAUGCAUGUGCAUGUCGC